GAUGAACGCUGGCGGCGUGCCUAACACAUGCAAGUCGAGCGAUUCUCUUCGGAGAAGAGCGGCGGACGGGUGAGUAACGCGUGGGUAACCUGCCCUGUACACACGGAUAACAUACCGAAAGGUAUGCUAAUACGGGAUAAUAUGAGAGAGUCGCAUGGCUUUCUUAUCAAAGCUCCGGCGGUACAGGAUGGACCCGCGUCUGCUUGGCUAGUUGGUGAGGUAAUGGCUUACCAAGGCGACGAUCAGUAGCCGACCUGAGAGGGUGAUCGGCCACAUUGGAACUGGGGCACGGUCCGAACUCCUACGGGAGGCAGCAGUGGGGAAUAUUGCACAAUGGGCGAAAGCCUGAUGCAGCAACGCCGCGUGAGCGAUGAAGGCCUUCGUGUCGUAAAGCUCUGUCCUCAAGGAAGAUAACGACGGUACUUGAGGAGGAAGCCCCGGCUAACUACGUGCCAGCCGCCGCCGUAAUAC
rnacentral:rRNA from 1 species